rnacentral:hammerhead_ribozyme from 1 species
AUCCAACUGAAGAGUCCCAAAUAGAACGAGACACGCCUUCUGGAU